rnacentral:lncRNA from 1 species
UGGAUGUCCUUUCUGUGUCUUAGUUUUCCUUCUAACAGUCAGGACCCUCAGCUUCAGGUCUGUUGGAGUUUGCUGGAGGUCCACUCCAGACCCUGUUUGCCUGGGUAUCACCAGUGGAGGCUGCAGAACAGCAAAUAUGACAUAGUAGGCAGAUGCUUGGAUUUGGUUUGACUCCUGGUCCUGCUUUAUGGAUGCUGCAGAUUCCUCACUUUGGAAAAGAGGAAUGAAGAAUGCCUAGCCCUAAUUUGAAAAUUCAAAAUACUCCAAACUCCAAAACUUUUUGAGUGUGGAUGUGAUGCAGCAAGUCGAAAAUUCCACACCUGACCUCCUGUGAUGGGUUGUAGUUGAAACUUAAAA